CGGGACGUAGUUCAGAUGGCUAGAACGUGCGCUUUGGGAGCGCAAGGUCGCGAGUUCAAGUCUCGCCGUCCCGACCC
rnacentral:tRNA from 1 species